GAGAACAACACCUCCCCACAGUUGGAGCCAGGCCGGUCUUCUGAGAGACCAGCCUGCAUCAGGCCAGGCCGGGAUGGCCAGAGAAGAAGCUAUGGUGUUUGCUAUGUGUGGUUUCACAUGUCUCACUGCGCUGGCAUGGCCAACAGGCCUCACGGCAGAUGGGUUGGUUCUACUGAAGCCUACGAGACUUCGAAGAGGUCAAUCAGCAGCUCAACUCAUCGACCCUAAACACAGCCUUGGCCUUUGAGCCGUACCGCACCUUGGCAACCAGCGCCGCUGCUGAGCGGCAGCAGCACAACAUCUUGUUCUCGCCAUUGGGCUUAGCGUCAGCUCUGGCGCUGCUGUCCCGGGUUUGUGGUUCCGAGAGUCGGAACCAGACCCUGGAGGCCCUGGGGCUGGCGGCCAAUACUACAGAGGAGAGUGUGGAGGCCACCUUAUCUGCUCUUGCAGAUAUGCAACUCAGCCUGUCUCUACGCGGGGGGGGUGUAGGGUCCAAAGGGUAGAAUCUGGAACUGGAACAGGAGCUGGCAUUGGGGCACCAGCAAGGGUGGAAUUUGUAGGGGAUGAUGCUGCAAACCAAACUGAUGUAGAUGAUUGGGCGGAGGGUAAGGAUGGAACUCGGGGUGGUGUUCAUGCUGGCAGUCAGCUGGAGUUUUGAGCAGCCUACAUGUGGAUGGAAGACCAUCCCUAGACUAUGACAGUUUCAUGCUCAGGCCUUGGCACAACAGCUUUGACUCGUUGAUGACUUGGAAGCCUCUGACAAACUUGAACUUACCAAUUAUGUGUAUUUCAAAAGGUAGCUUCUUCAUAGUUAAUGGCUGAUGUUAUUUUCAGCUUUUGUAUAUGCAUAAUGUAUAUUAAUGGUGUGAACAAUCAGACCGAUUUGUAAAGACCUUCAAAAACAUGUUAAUAAGCUUGAAAUCAGAAUGAACCGCUGCUAAAUUUGUAAAAGUAAAAUCAGAACACUUUCAAAAUGUGCUCUCUGUGUCAAGACAAUUGCAGCCACUACAGAGCAUCAGUCAUUGUUGUCUACGUGGAGCAGAUGCUCUCAGCCAGUCAACAGUGGUGCUUUAUACAGGCAUGCAACUUUUCCCUCUUACAAUUUGUUUUUCCUAUUUCAUAACGUUCUCUUUGUCACUGCUGCGUGAAUCAGGCCGUCAACCAUUUGAGCGGCGCCACACGGUGCCAAGGAGCUUCCAGCCCAACGCCACCACCACCAGCGUGGAGGUGGCCAUGAUGUUCUAAGGUGAUGAUGCUGUACGACACGGUGGUGCGUCUGGCCCACUCCGAGCGAACUGGCCUCGCCGCUCCUGCUCCCUACAGCUGAGCCGCAGCCCCUGGAGCCUCUCCGACGGACGCAUGGCGCCGCAACCUGAAGCAGUGGGUCUCACUGAAGAGAAUUCCAAAAACAACCUUCAGAAUGAUGCUAUGAAACACAAUGAUUGUGAAGUUAUUUAAACCAAAAUACAAUACUUUAUUCCCCUGAUGGAACGUAUCCUGGCUCUAAAAUAUAUAUUUUAUGAGAUUUCUACUUCCAGGUCGAUCUAAUUGAGGUUGAAUAGAAUUGAAUCUGUUACGCUCAGAGCAUUGACUUUUUUGGCAUUUUUGAAUUCCACAUCAUCACAUCUUUCUGUUGGCAGCAGCGACGAGGAGACUGCAACCUUCCUCAAAUGCGUUCAUGAAACAAACGCAACGUUUCCCACAUCAUUUUCAUCCAUUCAAGGCGGGCAGAAAUCCGUUUCCCUAAGUUCCAACUAAGGAAAUCCUACAGUUUAGACAGGAGGCCUCCUGAGGAACUCUGGGGUGUCAUCGGUUUUCUCGCACUCAGCCGACUUAUCUGGAAUAUCGCAGGAGACUCUGAAACUCGCCAAGGCUCCUCGUGAGGUCAUGCCCGAGGUGGAGGAGAUCCAGUAUGAAGAUGGGGGAGACCUGACAGUUCACCGGACUUCUCUGUUCCCUCGAGGAUCACCUUUAACAGGCCGUUCAUGCUCAUAACCUACGGCCAUCUCACGGGGAGAAUUAUUGAUCCUACAAAUGUCUACAGCGGGGUGAACAGCGUAGCUUUAUUGGGCUUUGCUAUUGAUAUAACACUGCGUUCACUUAUAUUACUCGAUUUGUUUUUCCCCCCCAACAGAAUGGUGUAUCAUUCUGGGGAAAAACAUUUUCCUGCAAUUAUAUCAGCAUGCAGAGUGCUUUGUUUUACCUUCAAUUUUCCAAACCAUUACAGCCUGAUUUACAGUUUCUUUCCCCCCUAUUUGCACAAAAUUAUGAAAAGAAAUUCAAAUUGAAGUAAUUUAUCUGUAUGACUGAAUCGCUUUCUACUCUUGCAAAAGCAUAAAACCCUUUUCUUCCAUUACAAAAGCUCUAUUGUCAUUUUUUCCCAUCUCUUUAUCGCUUUGUGCAAUUACAGAGAAAUGUUUUGCAGGAGAAAAGCACUGUUACAUCUACAGUACGCAUUUCAGUUUUACCUCAGCACCAGACGGUCUUGAGCAGAUGACAUUUAGCUCAUUGAGGAGAUGAUAAAUG
ensembl:lncRNA